UUUUUAUUUGGAAUAUUAUUAGAUGAUGCCCUAUGAUAAGAUGAGACAAAUGAUGGGGAGGGAAGGAGGAUGGCCCUUCUCUAGAAUCAGCAAACCCAAUGGUUCUGUGAAGGUCAGACCCAAGCUUGGAGCAGCUGGUCUGGAUGCAGAUCCAGGAGCUGCAGAGUGUGGAACAGGAAAGGCUCUGCCCAGGGCCCAUGAGCUCUAGCAUUCCUGCUGGCAGAUUAGAGAUCUUAGUUAAAUUUGACCAAGAAAGGAGCUUAGCUAAGAGGUCUUUGUUUCCAGAGGACCCAAGACUACCAGACUCCUGUGCAGUCUGCCUGUCUGCAGAGCCUCCAAUCACGGUUUAAAGUGGUCUUGGCCUCCCAGCCCCCACUGCUGCAGCCUUCAGAGCCAGCCUCUGGACUCAGCGCCAGGAGCCUCCUCUCCUGCUGCCCUGGUACCUGUCAUCCUAGUGUCACCUAUUUGUUUUGCACAGCAUUCUGGAGAACAUGUGCCUCACAAAGUGAUCCUGUUUUUCUCACCCUCCAAAGCUGAGGUGGCUAAGGGAGGCAGGGGUGAGAGAGCUCACUCUCUAAACCACAGGCAGGGCAAGGUGCUUCUAGGCCGUGUCCCCUCCCUGGGGAAUGGUCACUACUCCUCAGCAUGGCCACAGGCCCCUGUGGUUUUGGGAGUUUGCUGAGUGACUGUGGAAUGGGCUGACCCCAGCCGUUUCCCUGCUGUGGAAACAGCAAGGUAGGGGCACUGCUUGGUGGUUUGUCAAGCUCAGAGGCAGCCACGGAUGGUUAGGAACAGGAAGCCACACUGCUAAGGUGUGAUGAGCUAGAAGGGAGACAUCCUGGACUUCAAGUGAGACAAGUGCAGAGGAGGCCACUCCACUUAGGACCUUCCUUUUAGACCUGCAUGAGCACGUGUUUCACUUAAGCACAUUGGGUCCGAAUUGGGCGCAUGAACCCAGCUGUUAAACCAGGUACCCUGGGACUGCCCUCUGCCUCUCAGAGCCCUACCUGUCCUGGACUUGAAGGCGAGCAUCAGGCAGGCCUUCUCAGCCCAUCUUCCACCAGGAGUGCAGAGCCAGGGUGCUGAGAGGAGCAGGGACUGUAACUACAGUAGGAGGCAACUUUGCUGGUGUCAUUCCUGCUCGGAUUGACUUUGUGCUCCCUCCCAUCCACAGCUAUGGUAGCCAGUAUUUCCCCAGCAGCUCUCUAGUGGGGAAGAGUGGCUAGAACCAGGCCAUUCUCAGUCGAAUUUAGGAAGACCAAGACUCAUGUUCCUGACAGGACGGUCAUUCCCUCAUGGCAUCACUGACUCAGUUCUAAUUCCUCCCCUCCUGUUUCAUUUUGGUUUGAACAACCUGUGCCUGCAGCUGUUUCUUCCACCUUCCUGGAGCUCACAAUUGGAGCUUCAUGUUCAGUCUUGAGCUCCUAAUGUUUCCAGACAGGGCAGGGGAUAGGAGAGCCAUAAUCUAUGAAAGCUGUGAAACAAACCCUGGGUUAUAUAGAUCUCAGAUGGUCUCAUCUGAAGGCUUUGCCCACUUCCCAGUGAGCAGAGGGUUUGGGGAACAAAGAGGUAGCUGAAGAGUGGUGGUUUUUCCCUGUAUCCUGAUUUUCAGAAAGGGCUUUAGUCUCUGAGCUGUGGCUAGUAGCUGGCUGGCUGACCAGGGGACGGGGGUCUAAUAGGGUGUCUGACCAUAGGACACCUCUCGUGUUUGGCCUUCCCUUUCUUGUGUGUUUGUGUGUGUGUGUGC
rnacentral:lncRNA from 1 species